AUUGAACGCUGGCGGUAUGCUUAAGACAUGCAAGUCGAACGGUAACAGGUUAAGCUGACGAGUGGCGGACGAGUGAGUAACGCGUGGGAAUCUACCUUGUAGUGGGGGAUAAGCCAGGGAAACUUGGACUAAUACCGCAUACGCCCUAAGGGGGAAAGGCGCAAGUCGCUAUAAGAUGAGCCCGCGUCUGAUUAGGUAGUUGGUGGGGUAAAGGCCUACCAAGCCGACGAUCAGUAGCUGGUCUGAGAGGAUGAUCAGCCACGUCGGGACUGAGACACGGCCCGGACUCCUACGGGAGGCAGCAGUCGGGAAUAUUGGACAAUGGGGGAAACCCUGAUCCAGCAAUACCGCGUGAAUGAUGAAGGUCUUAGGAUUGUAAAGUUCUUUAGCCUGUGACGAUGAUGACGGUAACAGGAGAAUAAGCCCCGG
rnacentral:rRNA from 1 species